rnacentral:rRNA from 1 species
UACGUAGGUGGCGAGCGUUGUCCGGAUUUACUGGGCGUAAAGCGCACGUAGGCGGGUAUUUAAGUCAGGGGUGAAAUCCCAGAGCUCAACUCUGGAACUGCCUUUGAUACUGGGUACCUAGAGUGUGGAAGAGGUGAGUGGAAUUCCGAGUGUAGAGGUGAAAUUCGUAGAUAUUCGGAGGAACACCAGUGGCGAAGGCGGCUCACUGGUCCACUACUGACGCUGAGGUGCGAAAGCGUGGGGAGCAAACAGG